rnacentral:lncRNA from 1 species
CUAAUUUAAUUAAUACGAUAUUUUUUGGUAUUGAGAGCCCGAAAUCCUGAAUAGGAUCGCUUAUGUUAGGAUUUAAACCCACAUCCCUUGAGUUUUUUAACUUUUUUUAGCCUAAUUUAUGAAAAAAGAGAAAAAAAUAAUAAUAAAGAAGAUGAUGAGAAUUGUCUAAUUUUAUCUAAUAUAAAAAAUUAUUUAUAUAUUUAAAUUCUAUCAAAUUUUAGAUGUAAUGGUUUUGGAGAAGAGAAGAAUUUUCAGGAGGAGGAAGAGAUUUGGAGAGCACGAGGAAAAUCCCGCGGAUGGUGGGAGAGAUGGUUUAAUGAGAAAGAAGAUAGCGGCGCGAGCUAGUGGUGCAGCUUCAUGGUCUAUUCUCACGUGCACGUAAUUUCUUUCUGUUUGUUUUCUUUUCAAGUAACGGGAUGGAGCCGGGGAAGUCCUAUCCCGUUUUGAUUUUGGGUUUUCAUCAUGAGAUGAUGGGUGGUUAAAAAAUCUCGGCAAGGGCAA